ensembl:lncRNA
GCGAGCAUUAAAAGUUAAAGACAAAACCCAAGCAAUGGAUUUUGCCAGAAAUACCAGCAUGUUAAAGGGGUAGAGUUGGGGCGAACACGGGCCGCUGCAAGAUGGUCUGGGACAGCAGGCAAGGUGACAUUCGGUGUUCAGCGCGUGGGGGGUCUUCAGGUGAUGGCACAGGGAGGGACCCAAGAGGGGGUCCCGCUGAAGACAGUUUGUGGGGGGGGGACUCGGGGAAGAGACAAGAUGGACAGCCACAAUCAAGGGCUCAGGAGGUCAGAUGGGGGCCUGGGUCAGGAUGGUUGAUGACCCGCACAGAACUGCUCACUGGGGGCACAGAGGAGCGUCGGCGGAUGCCCCCGGAGUACCCAUCCCGAGCGAGGCAGAAUGUAACACUGAGUGGGAUGGGCAUCCGGCCGAAUGGGCAGACACUUUGGGAUGCCUCGAAGUCUUUUUGGAUCUCAGGCCAAUCUGUGGUUCGCCAAUUAUGACAAUUUGACUCUUUGAGCUUCUGUCCAAUGUUCCGAAUGGCCCAUUCUCCGGGCACUCGCCGAAGGACCCUCUGUGCCACGGGUGGACUGGCAUGGACCGCCCCCUGGGUCAUGCCAGCCCCGUUGCCAGGGCCCACAAGCCUUGGGCCUCUAGACUGCUAGUCGGGCUGCCGUGCAGGGGGGCUGCGCUGGGGGCAGAAGUGGGGGUGAGGUAAACCUCCCAGCCGCCCGGGUCCCUGCCGCAGCCCUAGGCACCAAGAUGUGGCUGGGUUGGUAUCGCCAGACCCACUGGCCUGGGGGCCCAAGCAAUCCCAGUAGAUGGACCAACAUGCAGCUUUUUGGCUCUGGGCAGCCCACACCCUUCUGACCUCCCCUACUCCCCGACCUCACCCCGCCUGGCCCCCAGGAGGCGGGCAAGAUGUCACCGAGUGGUGGGGGAGGGCUCCCCAAGUGCGCGGAAGGCGGCCACCUGCUCCAGCCUGAUGAAACCCCUCUACGCACAUCUGCAUUCCCUUCCCCCCCAGCCGGCCUCGGGCCAGCCGGGGGCCCCAUCCUGAUGGCCACCGAGCACCUUCCUGACACCUGGGGAGUUGCCACCCCACCCCUCCUCCGCCCCUCAGGACCUCCGAGGACCAGCCACCGUCCUCAGAAGCCAGGCCGGGUAGCGGCCGUCUCCAUUCCCCUCUGACUUCUCUGUGGGGCGCAGUGGCCGGCAUCCCCACAGAGGCUCCACUCCCAACUCAACCCAAGCGACAGGGACAGAAAUAAAAACCAAAAUCAAAUUGAGGGCGAUAAAUGGCAGAGAGCAGGUUGCACGGGGCCCACCGCAAGGGUGGCAGAUGGUUGUUGCGUGCGUCGUCGCUGCUCCCCGUUGUGGGGUGGGAGUUGAUUAAUUUGUGUGAGCGCAUGAAAAGCGAAGGAGGGAUCAAAAAAAAAAAAAAAAACAAAACAAAAAAGGAAAAAUAGCCCCAGGAGAAGCCAAUUAAAGGGGGGUAAUAGAUCAAUUGACAUCAAUUUGGGUUCCUAAUUUCGAUCCGUAAUUCUGCAAGUUUCUCUCCUCUUGACUCUUCUAACACCUCACUGGAUCCGUUCCCCAGAGUGGCCCCCCACCCAGCCCCCACUGCCCCCCACCCGCCCCUCCAACCGCCAGACUUCCCACUCUCCUCAUCAUCUCUGCCAGCCUCCUGGGGGCCUCCAUUUCGGAGAGGCCCCCAGGAGGCUGGCAGAGAU